rnacentral:rRNA from 1 species
CCUACGGGGGGCAGCAGUGGGGGAUAUUGCACAAUGGGGGAAACCCUGAUGCAGCGACGCCGCGUGUGGGAAGACGGUCCUCUGGAUUGUAAACCACUGUCCCCAGGGACGAAGAUGACGCUACCUGGGGAGGAAGCUCCGGCUAACUACGUGCCAGCAGCCGCGGUAAUACGUAGGGAGCGAGCGUUGUCCGGAAUUACUGGGUGUAAAGGGAGCGUAGGCGGGGAUGAAAGUUGGGUGUAAAAACUACCGGCUCAACUGGUAGUCGCACUCAAAACUGCCGCUCUUGAGUGAAGUAGAGGCAGGCGGAAUUCCUAGUGUAGCGGUGAAAUGCGUAGAUAUUGCGAGGAACACCAGUGGCGAAGGCAGCCUGCUGGGCUUUUACUGACGCUGAGGCUCGAAAGUGUGGGGAGCAAACAGGAUUAGAUACCCCAGUAGUC